CACGCCCCGCCACACACAUUAACCAGUGGAAGCUCAUUUUCCUCCUCAGUCACCUGGUCUAUGAGCAGAGCUACUAUGGCAGCGGGAAAAGGUCUGCACACUAUAAACAGGAGAGGAUAUGACACCAGAGCUGCAGCAUCUUCUACUUUUCUAACACACAGUUGUGAUCGCCACAA